UCUGCAACACAAGGGCGAGGGCUCCUGUCAGGACAGAACCACGCGAGCACAGCCCCAGCCAGGAGCUGUAGGCAGAUGAGGUGAAGACUCCUCAUGUAGCACAGUGGCCAUGCAGAAGCCUGAGACGCCACAGCUUGUGGGUUCAAACCCCGGUCCCGUCAGGAGCCAGAGGUUAGCACUGUUCUGGUGGUGGGGAAGCAGGGCAGGGAGCCAGACUCCAGCCCCUGUUCCCUACUCGCAGGAGGGAAGCUUCGUGAGCGGUGCUGCAGGUGUCUCCCCUCGCCCCCAAUCUGAAGUGUAGCCGUGUGUGUGGAGGACAGACACACAGCGUGGAAGCAGGACUGAAGGCUGGGCCUGCACCGCCUGCCAGAUCUCACAGGAGCUUGGAAGAGGAUGAGGGCAGGACACAGCAGUUCUGGCCUAAGCUGGUGCCGGGGUGGAGCCGUCUCUGAGCAUGGUGGGCGCACGGCCCCUCAGCCUGCACUCUCGACACUUCCUCCUGGAGGUUCAGGGGCGGAUAUUCUUACUCCGCCUGAGCUGGGUUUACACACCCGAGCCUCAGUUUCCCCACGUGAAGGAGCAGCCCUACCUGGAGUGCGCCUCCCACAGCUUCUGGUUCGUGCGGUAGUCCCACACCGAGACCAGGCCCUCCUCCCCACCGCUGACGAUUUUCCAGUCGUCCAUCUGCACUGCGGAGACUCCAAGCUGGUGCGCGGACAACGACAGGGCGAUCUUGUCGGUGCGCAGGUCGUGGAUCCUGACCCUGGGGGCAGGGCCAGACGGAAAGCCAGUGAGUGGCAGGUGGUCCUGGGGGCGCUGCUUCCCUCGCACAAGCUUUUUCAUCUUGCCUCCCGGGUUACUGCUGGGGCUCAGUGCUGGCACUGUGCACCCACUGCUCCAGGAGGCCUUUUUUUAAAAAAAAAAUUGGAAUAGGACAUAAUUUGAGAUGGAAGGGUAGAGAAAGGUAUCUGCAGACCCACUUCACCACUUGUGAAGCAACACUCUGCAAGUGGGGAGCUGGGGGCUCGAACCAAGAUCCUUGCACGGGUCCUUACACUUUGUACUAUGUGUGCUUAACCGGCGCACCCCCCCCAUUCCAUGGAAGUCCUGGAGCUCACACCCACGUGUCUGUGCAGGAGGUACAGUCACACAAAAGGACAGUAAAUUCAUCUAGCAAACACAACUUGUACCACUGCACACAGACACACUCUGGCGGGGCAGGAAUUUGGGACCAAGUGUCCCCUUAGCCUAGAGGCUUGAAACAAUUGCUUGCCUGUGACUUGAAUCCACAACUUCUUUAAAAGCAGUUUUCCCACAAGUGCAUGCAGAAUUUCCAUGUAGGGAUAACUAAGAUGAGAUGGAAAUCUUGUAGCCAUUAGAAAUAUCAAGUGCGGGGGUUGGGUGAUAGUGCACUGGAUUAAGUGCAAGGAUCCUGGUUCGGGUCCCCAACUGCAGGGGAGUCGCUUCACAGGCAGUGAAGCAAGUCUGCAGGUGUCUCUUUCUCUCCCCCUCCUAUCUGUCCUGUUCAACAACACUACCAACAACAAAGGGGAAAAAUAGCCUUCAGGAGCAGUGGAUUCCUAGUGCAGGCGCUGAACCCCAGCAAUAACUCUGGAGGCAAAAUAAUUAUAUAUAUAAUCAAAUGUUUCUGAGAUAUGCUACAAGUCAAAAAGAUCAAGACUACUCCUGCCUUACAGACCUCCCGCCCCCAGGAUGCUUACUGCAUAUAAUCUCAAGACACAAAACACCACGGAUCCAAAACAUUCCUUGUCCUAAACCCUUAUGAGAUUUUACCCCUUUGUGUUUGAAAGCUUAGUACCUGCAUAUCAGAUUAAGUCAUGUCUUUAUUUUAACAAAAGUCAGAGCUGACACCAGCCAAAAGAGCCCCAGGAGGCAGCACAAACCUCUGGGUGACAUGACAUGCGCUAAGGGGACAGAUAUCUUCAGGGAGGCCUGUGCAGGAGAUGGGGCCCUACGUGCAAAGCUCACCUCUAUGGACACGAGUGGGGUGGUUUAGUAAAACUCAGAAAAAAUGAAUCUUAUUUCUUUUGUAAAUAAAAGCUCUUCAGUACAUUCAGUUUAAGUUAUUCAGGCUUACUAUGUGAGUCAAAUAACCAACUUUCUAGAAAGAGUUAUUGAAACUGACCCUAAUAACUUAAAAAGGGAGAAACAGUAAAACAAGCAAACUGAGGAAGAGCCCAGUGAGCAGAGCAGUAGGCACAGCAAAAAGACAACUGCAGCUCUGCCUGGAAUGCGUCUGCGAAGGAGACACACCACGUGCCUCUGGGUCACGUCACGUCUGCGUCACAUUAGCACCACGGCAGUGGGGGGUACAAGUCCAAGAUGAUUCCAAAGCAAGU